GAUGAACGCUGGCGGCGUGCCUAAUACAUGCAAGUCGAGCGAACAGACGAGGAGCUUGCUCUUCUGAUGUUAGCGGCGGACGGGUGAGUAACACGUGGAUAACCUACCUAUAAGACUGGGAUAACUUCGGGAAACCGGAGCUAAUACCGGAUAAUAUUUUGAACCGCAUGGUUCAAAAGUGAAAGACGGUCUUGCUGUCACUUAUAGAUGGAUCCGCGCUGCAUUAGCUAGUUGGUAAGGUAACGGCUUACCAAGGCAACGAUGCAUAGCCGACCUGAGAGGGUGAUCGGCCACACUGGAACUGAGACACGGUCCAGACUCCUACGGGAGGCAGCAGUAGGGAAUCUUCCGCAAUGGGCGAAAGCCUGACGGAGCAACGCCGCGUGAGUGAUGAAGGUCUUCGGAUCGUAAAACUCUGUUAUUAGGGAAGAACAAAUGUGUAAGUAACUAUGCACAUCUUGACGGUACCUAAUCAGAAAGCCACGGCUAACUACGUG
rnacentral:rRNA from 1 species